UGAUCAAAUGAUGCUAGAAACACUGGUUCUCAUUUGAUCACAGAAAUUAAGCAAUGUCAAGCUCAGUCAGUACUUAGAUGGGGGACCACUUGGGAAUGC